GUGACGAUGCGACGCCGCGUGGAGGAUGAAGGCUUUCGGGUCGUAAACUCCUUUUAGUGGGGAAGAAUCUUGGGGGCUAAAUAGGCCUUCCAGGCGACGGUACCCACAGAAAAAGCCACGGCUAACUCCGUGCCAGCAGCCGCGGUAAGACGGAGGUGGCGAGCGUUGCUCGGAUUUAUUGGGUGUAAAGGGUCUGUAGGCGGUCUUGUAAGUCGGAUGUGAAAUCCUACCGCUCAACGGUAGAACUGCAUUUGAUACUGCGAGACUUGAGUGCGGUAGAGGUGAGGGGAAUUCCCGGUGUAAGGGUGAAAUCUGUAGAGAUCGGGAGGAACACCAGUGGCGAAGGCGCCUCACUGGGCCGCAACUGACGCUGAGCGACGAAAGCUAAGGGAGCAAACAGGAUUAGAUACCCUGGUAGUCCUAGCCCUAAACGAU
rnacentral:rRNA from 1 species